AUUUAUUUAGUUUAUUUAAAACAUUUCAUUUUCAAUGAAAAAAUAGAUAAUUACUUAUUCUAAUAAAUA
rnacentral:tRNA from 1 species